rnacentral:snoRNA from 1 species
AUCCCAUGAUGAGGAUGGGCGGUGACAUAUUCCUGCAGCCUUUCCCAAGCUUCAGGAGUUGUUUCGUCCUUCGGCUGCUGAAAGCUGGAUAUUCUUCCACGAAGAGC